rnacentral:misc_RNA from 1 species
AACGCAUAUUGCGCCCUUUGGUAUUCCGAAGGGCAUGCCUGUUCGAGCGUCAUUAUCACCGUGUCAAGCUUGGCUUGUUGUUGGGCCCUUUGUCACCUGGUGACAGGUCCAAAAUAUAAUGACCGGUGUCGUACCGACUCUAUAUGCAACGAGCUGAUCACAGCACGCAUCUGGCAGUCGUACGGCCCGGUCUUCACCCCUCUAUUUUCUCAAGGUUGACCUCGGAUCAGGUAGGAAUACCCGCUGAACUUAA